UACGGGGGGGGCAAGCGUUGUUCGGAAUUACUGGGCGUAAAGGGCGCGUAGGCGGCCUGCUAAGUCGGACGUGAAAUCCCUCGGCUCAACCGAGGAACUGCGUCCGAUACUGGUGGGCUUGAAUCCGGGAGAGGGAUGUGGAAUUCCAGGUGUAGAGGUGAAAUUCGUAGAUAUUGGGAAGAACACCGGUGGCGAAGGCGGCGCUCUGGACCGAGACUGACGCUGAGGCGCGAAGGCCAGGGGAGCAAACGGG
rnacentral:rRNA from 1 species